GUAGGGAAUCUUCCACAAUGGGCGCAAGCCUGAUGGAGCAACACCGCGUGAGUGAAGAAGGGUUUCGGCUCGUAAAGCUCUGUUGUUAAAGAAGAACACGUAUGAGAGUAACUGUUCAUACGUUGACGGUAUUUAACCAGAAAGUCACGGCUAACUACGUGCCAGCAGCCGCGGUAAUACGUAGGUGGCAAGCGUUAUCCGGAUUUAUUGGGCGUAAAGAGAGUGCAGGCGGUUUUCUAAGUCUGAUGUGAAAGCCUUCGGCUUAACCGGAGAAGUGCAUCGGAAACUGGAUAACUUGAGUGCAGAAGAGGGUAGUGGAACUCCAUGUGUAGCGGUGGAAUGCGUAGAUAUAUGGAAGAACACCAGUGGCGAAGGCGGCUACCUGGUCUGCAACUGACGCUGAGACUCGAAAGCAUGGGUAGCGAACAGGAUUAGAAACCCCUGUAGUCC
rnacentral:rRNA from 1 species